GACCGCUCCGGUGGCCUAGUGGUCAGAGCGUCCGCCUCGGAAGCGGGAGGUCGCCGGUUCCAACCCCGAAUGAGUCA